rnacentral:rRNA from 1 species
CUACGGGUUGCUGCAGUGAGGAAUAUUGCACAAUGGGGGGAACCCUGAUGCAGCAACGCCGCGUGGAGGAUGACGCAUUUCGGUGUGUAAACUCCCUUUAUAUGUCAAGAAAAUGACGGUAGCAUAUGAAUAAGCACCGGCUAACUCCGUGCCAGCAGCCGCGGUAAUACGGAGGGUGCAAGCGUUACUCGGAAUCACUGGGCGUAAAGGACGCGUAGGCGGGUUGGAAAGUCAGGUGUGAAAUCCUACAGCUUAACUGUAGAACUGCACUUGAAACUUCUAAUCUAGAGUAUGGGAGGGGGAGAUGGAAUUAGUGGUGUAGGGGUAAAAUCCGUAGAUAUCACUAGGAAUACCUAAAGCGAAGGCGACCUCCUGGAACAUUACUGACGCUAAGGCGUGAAAGCGUGGGGAGCAAACAGGAUUAGAUACCCUUGUAGUC